CCCGAUUUUCCGGAGUUCUCGCAGCCAACCAGAUCCGCGCCGCCGCCUCUGCUCCCGCUCCCGUCACCUCCUCGGCCUCUUCGUCCUGGCCGGCUGCGCCCCCUCUGCACGACGCCUCGCCGGACACCGAUCUCGCCCCGCAGGACUCAACUCCGCCGGUCUCGUCAUCCUCUCCAUCACCGCAGUCGUCCACGUCGAAGGCACGGACAUCGGAGGCGGUGAGGCGAGGGCUCGCGGCGAGGGAAGCACCUCGGAUCCACUCGAUCCCGCGCCUCCACCGACCGCAGCCACCUCCGUUCAAUCCACCCCUCCACGGUCCCCGCAAGAUCCCACGUCUUCACCGUCCGCCACUGCCCGACCCCUUACUCCCUCCGGCAAUGCACAGAGCUACAUGUCCUCCUUACUGCUUCCGGCUACCUCACAAUUUUAAUCUGGUCCAUGGGACAUGAAAAACUUAUUUCCGUUCAAUGGUGGCAGAGAGAUAUUCUUGUCCCGAACUCAGGAGCUGCUGGACAUUUCCACCGUAAUGGAGCGUAUCAGCAGAGGUGGACGACAGUAAUAGGAGAACUGGAACAAGCGCCGGAAGCAGCCGUGAACAUAGAUGCACAGUUCUGCGAGGAAGAAACCAGGGUGUACAAAGGAAGGGAGAUCUCACCCCAGGUCUCCAAGCUAUUGACUGGGAAGAUGAACCCCAGGCAACCGGGUUGGAUUGGUUUGCACAUAACCCGUAAAACUUACCGAUUUUAAUUCGCUUGGUAUAGGUCCUUAAUGAUUCAGUACGUUAUAUCGGUAUUGAGUGUACUAGCAGUCUACAGAUAGAUUUGCGUCUGUAUGCUGAGCUUGUUCUGAGGAUAAUAAUUUUUUGAUUGAAUCCAAUGCAAGGUAACUAAUAGAAAUACAGUUGUACUACUAAUGACAGUCUCGCUUUUGGGAAGUUUUUUGAUGGAUAUUUAGUCGUGGCAGCUAUUUCUACCGUGGAAUAACUGUAAUUUAGCUAUGUGACACCGAUGAAUUAUAUAAAGUUUAGAAAUGCAUGUAUGUCGAUUUAAUUUAAUGGACAUGAUCUUUUAGGUUGAUUUCAGCUGAGCAAUAGGAAACAUGGGUGCAGAGUAAGGAUUGCAUCGGCGGCACCAUGCCCUUCUCGGGCGACAUCUCUUGAGAAAGCGAUAAGGGCAUUCGCUAACGAUCCAAUACAUAAUGUGAUUGUACCAGUGCUGGGGACAAGUUCUGACUCUUUAUGAGAGAGGCGUGUGGUUUUUACAAUCUAAUCAUUUGGGAGAAAGGUUUUGGGAUCAGAUAUUGGAAAUGCAGGUCAAAUGUUGAGAGGACAAAAUGUAAUUAGGAAAUAGUGUGUCCAUAUGUGGGUAAAGCAGGUGUGUAGAACACACGAUCUUGCCGAUGUUAGUACCCUGCUCUAAUAAAUUGCUUAGAUCAGAGCACAGGGGUUAAGAAGUACAUGAGGCUGCAAUUUGACAGUGAGUCUGAGGAGAACUAUGUCGAGGAGAUGACAAGAAAUGGGAGUCCGCUAAUGAGAGCUAACCUGGCCACUGAAUGGCAUGCGAUCAAAACAUACACAAGCGCUAUGUUUGAUGAAAAUUAGAUCUUGUAUGAGUGUGGACUGUGGAGCAUACCAAAGUUGAAGAGAUUGAGAAACACAAGUCAUGUCCUGGAGGUGCUGGACUUCAUGCGUGUGAAGCGAUGCUCACAACAUAGGAACCAUUGGCAUAUAAUCUGUUCUCCUACAUGCACUUCAGAAUGUGCAUAGAGCUUGUUCGGCUUGGGGACAUAAAUUUUGAUGCGUACGAUUGUCUGGUUUAUUUGUUGAAGGCAAAUUUGGUGGACAUGAAACCUUUUGCCGAGGUGAGAGAUGGGCUUGGUUUGGAAGACCGGCUUGCUGAAAAUGGAGUAGUUGUCAAGCUGUUGAAAAUACAUACUAUGUGUAGAUCGCAAAACUCAAGAGCAUCCAGCAAAUGCUGGUAGUGGUGACAAUGUUUCAGUAAUAUACCAGGAAGCAGGUUAGCAUAACUAUCAGUGCCAGGCUACCAGCUACAAGGAAAGAGAUUGACUGGCCAAUGACCAGCAGGGAGAAAGCCCCUUAGGAAGGAUUGAGUAAGAGGACCAAUUUCUGCAGCAUUUUCUGCCGCCAUGGUCACAAAAGGACUACAUGGACAGACAGAGGUGAUGCUCCGAAACAUCUUGCAAACUGGGCAGGUGCAAUAGCUAUGGCGUCGAGGGACAGAAAAGGAACAAUUUUACCAAGCCCAUAGAAUUUAGAUUGCCAACGGAAACUAAAAUGAGUGCAAAUUAUGAGACCCUUUUUUGGUUAGUAGUUAGUGUUACUUUCUCAAUACUCGAGUCAAGAUUCUUCCUAAUGGUCACCAUGGGAUCGACAGAACUCUUUAGGUGGCGGAGAAGUUUGAUAUGAGCCUCUAAGGUACUCUCCGACCUAGCUGAAAAUGAUGUUCUUUUAGAGGGUAUCCUGGCGGAUUGAAGAUUCUGAAGUUAUUGGGUUUUUGCUUCCAACUGAAAUGAUUCCUUUAUAUCUGAGUACUAUGGAGAUGGGCUGUGAACUUACCAGAACAAGGAAGGGGAUGCCCGAGACUGAGACGAUGACGGUGGUCGCGACACACAGCUGCAGGAGUGGACAACAGAGACAAACACUCCCUUGGAUUCGUCGUGAUUCUGGAAUGGGAGGCAGGUCACUGCCGCUACCGCCCAUGAAGCUGACGAUGAUCACGUGGCCGUCAUGCAGCGGCGAGGUGGCGGUUGUGGAGGGGAAGGGGGAGGUGAGGGGAGACGCGCGGGCGAAAACCCACACGGCGGAGGAAGGGGAUGCCUCAGGUGGCGACGGUCAUGACGGUCACUAUAUUGUGAUAUGUUAUUUGCAUAUAAAUGAUUCAGGGGACCCCGGUUUGUCGUUUAGAUUUCUCCAAUUGUUCGAAGAUGGGGCCCAUCUCUUUCUAAACUGCAAAGAAGUGAAGGAGCAAUGGUAUGCCUUGCUGCUGGAGGAAAUCCGGAUUAGAGUGUAAUUCAGCGCAUGACGUCAUGAGAAAAAUUCUGAGGUUGCGGAGAAGGAUAAGUUGCUCACUAUUUGAGUGUGGGCCGAGCAAUUUUUGGAACGGACUGUCUGAUACUCAAGCAGGCUGUGAGCUUUGAAGCGUAUGGUCAAGUGCCGCUGGGUAUUUUCUUAUGUGAUAUCAAGUACCCACUACUAUAAGCUACGUACUUUAUUCAUUGAUUGAGGCUAGAGUGAUUCAUGCUCCAAGGGGAUGUAACCAGCCAUCUAAUGUGCUGGCAGCUUUGGGUGCAGGGUUAGACAAUGGUGAUCAUGUUGAAUGGUUCUCAGACUACUUUGAGGUUGUAGCCCAUGUUGUAACCGGCGAUUUAGCCAUGUACUCCCUCCAUUUCUAAAUAUAAGUCUUUUUAAAGGUUUCAAA